GAGAGGCUAGCUCAAUGGUAGAGCGCCUUGGAGGAAUCCAAGGAGAUUACGGGUUCGAGUCCCGUGCCUUUUACCA
rnacentral:tRNA from 1 species